UACGUAGGGCGCAAGCGUUGUCCGGAAUUAUUGGGCGUAAAGAGCUCGUAGGCGGCUUGUCACGUCGGGUGUGAAAGACCGGGGCUUAACCCCGGUUCUGCAUUCGAUACGGGCUGGCUAGAGUGUGGUAGGGGAGAUCGGAAUUCCUGGUGUAGCGGUGAAAUGCGCAGAUAUCAGGAGGAACACCGAUGGCGAAGGCAGGUCUCUGGGCCACUACUGACGCUGAGAAGCGAAAGCAUGGGGAGCGAACAGG
rnacentral:rRNA from 1 species